UCGGAUUGUAGUCUGNAACCCGACUACAUGAAGCUGGAAUCGCUAGUAAUCGCAGGUCAGCAUACUGCGGUGAAUACGUUCCCGGGUCUUGUACACACCGCCCGUCACACCAUGGGAGCCGGAAAUGCCCGAAGCCAGUGACCCAACCUUAGGGAGGGAGCUGUCGAAGGUGGAGCCGGUAACUGGGGUGAAGUCGUAACAAGGUACC
rnacentral:rRNA from 1 species